rnacentral:rRNA from 1 species
AUUGAACGCUGGCGGCAUGCCUUACACAUGCAAGUCGAACGGCAGCACGGGUGCUUGCACCUGGUGGCGAGUGGCGAACGGGUGAGUAAUAUAUCGGAACGUACCUUAUUGUGGGGGAUAACGCAGCGAAAGCUGUGCUAAUACCGCAUAAUCCCUAAGGGGGAAAGCGGGGGACCGUAAGGCCUAGCGCCAUUAGAGCGGCCGAUACAUGAUUAGCUAGGUGGUGAGGUAAAGGCUCACUAAGGCAACGAUCAGUAGCUGGGCUGAGAGGACGAUCAGCCACACUGGGACUGGGACACGGCCCAGACUCCUACGGGAGGCAGCAGUGGGGAAUUUUGGACAAUGGGGGCAACCCUGAUCCAGCAAUGCCGCGUGAGUGAAGAAGGCCUUCGGGUUGUAAAGCUCUUUUGUCAGGGAAGAAACAGCAGCUCUAACACAGUUUGCGAAUGACGGUACCUGAAGAAUAAGCACCGGCUAACUACGUGCCAGCCGCCGCCGUAA